UUGAACCCAAUUUUUUUAUGAAAUUACGAUUUUGACCUUCGGGGUUUAGAACAGGGUUUUGGUUGACUUUCUUAUAGGGUGAUAUGGGUAUUGAUUGACUCGUAUUCUUACGUAUAAUCCGUGCAAGAAAAGAUUGGGACCGUUAGAAGGCUCUACGAAACGGCAAGGCAAAAUUGUGAUUAUCGGACUUCUAUUCCAGGUAUGUUGAGACUAUGAACCUUAACUUAAGCAUCAUGGUUGGUUAUAAUUGGACUAAUAAAAGGGGACAAUGGGGUAACGAAAGGGGGUUCCAAUACUUUUGAGGUGAUGAGCAUUUGUAUUGGAUACCGGUGUCAUGAUAAGGGUAUUUGUGUAAUUUUCAUUGUAUAGUCCGGUAUAAAUGCCAUGCUUUGGGCAUUAGCUGAUAGCAUAGAUUGAUUGUGUCUGUGAUUGUGAGAUGAGGUCCCUUGUUUGCUGCUUCUAUGAUUAUUGCCUGUUUUAUUGUGAUUAUGUGUUCUCAUCACCCUUAAAUACUCGUUUAAAAUUAGAAAAGAGCUAAAGAUUGAGUCUUUAUUGCUUAGCUUGAUGCUUAUUGAGUUGCAUGUCAUAUUCAUGCUUAUCAUAGUAUCUCAUGUUCAUUUUGAUGAUACUUGUGAAAGGUCCGAUGGGAAAUGAUUCCGGAUGGAGCGAUGAUGUUAUUUGCGCCAGAUUGGCUAUAUGACAGGUAAUGUGGGCCUAAGGGCUGAGUAUUGUGAGUGGAAGCCUAAAAUGGCUAGGACCCAAUGUGAUCUGCGAGAUCUAAGAAUGUCUGGUUCGUAUAUGUACCUUGCGAAACCCCCAUGGGUCAUGAUUCAUUAUGUUCGAACGUGUGUGUACCGAGCGAUGGAUACAAGCCUGGCAUUGUAUUUCAUAUCACUGCACAUCAUAUUAUAUCAUUGAUUGUUGGUCGUGAUUUGUUGAGUUAAUUGCCUGAUUUUCCUUAAUUGCUUACUUAGAGACUUGGUGGACUUGUGGAUUAGAAGUUUCACUUAGGCUUAUAACCCUAGUUUAAUGUAAUUUAUUGUGAUUGUUAUUACUGUGGACUAAUAGCAGUUAAGUGUAGAAGUAGUAAUCGUAGGCCAGCCCUCAUCUCCAUUUUUGUUAGGGUCGGUCGAUGAUGUUGUUGAGUAUCCAUUGUUCUUUGUAUUCACGCUACACUUGUUGCACUCUUUUGUGUGCAGAUUAGCCCAACACUAGCGGACCUCGAGACCAUACGGUUGCUCGUUGAGGAGGCCAUUCAAAGACUUCGGGGUUGUGGAUGACUUACUGACUCGAAGGAGUUAGUGCCUCACAGCUUGUUAAACUGGAUGGCGAUAGAGGUAUAAGAAAAAUCUUUGGGAAAUUUAACGUUGGAAGCUACAUUACGGACAAUGUUUUCAAAAGAGCUUGCACAAGGCCUCAAUUCAAGCAAGCAUAACCCCCUUAUUAGUUGGGAAUUUGGGAAAACUUUCUUCGUGAAAGUUGUAACCCUUUGAAAUACUUUUCCAUUCAUAUAAGGAUCGGGCCAAAUGGAUCUCUGUCCAAAAUGUUAUGCCAAUUUUGCUGGACACAAUGCAGUCUGUGUGGCUGAGCAUCAGCUGCGCAAUAGCGCACGGAAGGCAACAUCACUGCCAUUUCUGUGUAUAGCGCACAUGGAAAGACAUGUUAAAAAGCCCUAGGUUGUACAUCACCUCCCAAACAUAAAAUAUUGCUUUAGACAGAGAAGCUCUCAAGAAUCCAACUCCCUCCAAGGUCCCUCCACAUCCUAGAUUUUCAAGGAAUCUUCUCAAGAACUCAAGUGAAGGAUUUUGCAAGGGUUUCUUCAUAGAGAUACCAUCAUCUUUUAUUGAUCAACCAUAAGAAACUGAAGUUUUAUUGCCAUAGAGAUUACUUGGGGAUUUUAUUGUUGUGAAUAAACUCCCAUGUAAAUUUCUUAGAGAUUUACCAAGGAUCAGUGUUUUAAAAGGCAGUUCUAGGACUCGCCUCGGGAACAGGGCACUGGGA